GGUAGUGUCUCAGUGGUAGAGCACUUGCCUGGCAUGUAUGAGGCACUGGGUUUGAGCCUCAGCAUCA
rnacentral:tRNA from 1 species